AUUAAACGCUGGCGGCGUGCCUAAUACAUGCAAGUCGAACGGGGAAAGCUUUCGGGUGAGUACUAGUGGCGCACGGGUGAGGAACGCGUGGAUAAUCUGCCUUAGAGUGGGGGAUAACUAGUCGAAAGAUUAGCUAAUACCGCAUAAGACCACGAGAGCUGCGGCUUUUGAGGUCAAAGGUUUUUCGUUCUAAGAUGAGUCCGCGUAAGAUUAGCUAGUUGGUGAGGUAACCGCUCACCAAGGCGACGAUCUUUAACUGGUCUGAGAGGAUGAUCAGUCACACUGGAACUGAGACACGGUCCAGACUCCUACGGGAGGCAGCAGUAGGGAAUAUUGCACAAUGGAGGAAACUCUGAUGCACCGACGCCGCGUGAGUGAUGAAGGCCUUCGGGUCGUAAAGCUCUGUCGCAGGGGAAUAACACAAUGAAGGUACCCUGUAAGAAAGGAUCGGCUAACUUCGUGCCAGCAGCCGCGGUAAGACGAGGGAUCCUAGCGUUGUUCGGAAUCAUUGGGCGUAAAGCGGGUGUAGGUGGCUUUGUAAGUCGAGUGUGAAAGCCUGGGGCUCAACCCCAGAAGUGCAUUCGAUACUGCGAAGCUUGAGUGGUAGAGAGGUUAGUAGAAUUGUUGGUGUAGUGGUGAAAAACGUAGAUAACAACAGGC
rnacentral:rRNA from 1 species